rnacentral:rRNA from 1 species
AGAGUUUGAUCCUGGCUCAGGAUGAACGCUAGCGGCAGGCUUAACACAUGCAAGUCGAGGGGUAACGGGGAAGCUUGCUUCCGCCGACGACCGGCGCACGGGUGCGUAACGCGUAUACCAUCUACCUUAUACUGGGGUAUAGCCUUUAGAAAUGAAGAUUAACCCCCCAUAGUCUCUAAGAGUGGCAUCACAUUUAGAGUAAAGGUUACGGUAUAAGAUGAGUAUGCGUUCUAUUAGUUUGUUGGUGAGGUAACGGCUUACCAAGACUACGAUAGAUAGGGGCCCUGAGAGGGGGAUCCCCCACACUGGUACUGAGACACGGACCAGACUCCUACGGGAGGCAGCAGUGAGGAAUAUUGGACAAUGGAGGCAACUCUGAUCCAGCCAUGCCGCGUGUAGGAUGACUGCCCUAUGGGUUGUAAACUACUUUUAUACAGGAAGAAACACCUCUACGUGUAGAGGCUUGACGGUACUGUAAGAAUAAGGAUCGGCUAACUCCGUGCCAGCAGCCGCGGUAAUACGGAGGAUCCAAGCGUUAUCCGGAAUCAUUGGGUUUAAAGGGUCCGUAGGUGGAUAAUUAAGUCAGAGGUGAAAUCUUGCAGCUCAACUGUAAAAUUGCCUUUGAAACUGGUUAUCUUGAGUUAUUAUGAAGUAGUUAGAAUAUGUAGUGUAGCGGUGAAAUGCAUAGAUAUUACAUAGAAUACCAAUUGCGAAGGCAGAUUACUAAUAAUCAACUGACACUGAUGGACGAAAGCGUGGGUAGCGAACAGGAUUAGAUACUCUGGUAGUCCACGCCGUAAACGAUGGUUACUAGCUGUUUGGACUUCGGUCUGAGUGGCUAAGCGAAAGUGAUAAGUAACCCACCUGGGGAGUACGUUCGCAAGAAUGAAACUCAAAGGAAUUGACGGGGGCCCGCACAAGCGGUGGAGCAUGUGGUUUAAUUCGAUGAUACGCGAGGAACCUUACCAGGGCUUAAAUGUAAGUUGCAUUAGUUAGAGAUAGCUAUUUCUUCGGACCACUUACAAGGUGCUGCAUGGUUGUCGUCAGCUCGUGCCGUGAGGUGUCAGGUUAAGUCCUAUAACGAGCGCAACCCCUGUUGUUAGUUGCCAGCGAGUCAUGUCGGGAACUCUAACAAGACUGCCAGUGCAAACUGUGAGGAAGGUGGGGAUGACGUCAAAUCAUCACGGCCCUUACGUCCUGGGCUACACACGUGCUACAAUGGUAGGGACAGAGAGCAGCCACUGGGCGACCAGGAGCGAAUCUAUAAACCCUAUCACAGUUCGGAUCGGAGUCUGCAACUCGACUCCGUGAAGCUGGAAUCGCUAGUAAUCGGAUAUCAGCCAUGAUCCGGUGAAUACGUUCCCGGGCCUUGUACACACCGCCCGUCAAGCCAUGGAAGUUGGAAGUGCCUGAAGUCCGUCACCGCAAGGAGCGGCCUAGGGUAAAGUCGAUAACUAGGGUGAAGUCGUAACAAGGUA